AGAGCGAACGCUGGCGGCAGGCCUAACACAUGCAAGUCGAACGGAUCCUUCGGGAUUAGUGGCGGACGGGUGAGUAACACGUGGGAACGUGCCUUUUGGUUCGGAACAACUCAGGGAAACUUGAGCUAAUACCGGAUGUGCCCUUCGGGGGAAAGAUUUAUCGCCAUUAGAGCGGCCCGCGUCUGAUUAGCUUGUUGGUGAGGUAAAGGCUCACCAAGGCUACGAUCAGUAGCUGGUCUGAGAGGAUGAUCAGCCACAUUGGGACUGAGACACGGCCCAAACUCCUACGGGAGGCAGCAGUGGGGAAUCUGCGCAAUGGGCGAAAGCCUGACGCAGCCAUGCCGCGUGAAUGAUGAAGGUCUUAGGAUUGUAAAAUUCUUUCACCGGGGACGAUAAUGACGGUACCCGGAGAAGAAGCCCGGCUAACUUCGCGCCAGCAGCCGC
rnacentral:rRNA from 1 species